rnacentral:rRNA from 1 species
AUUGAACGCUGGCGGCAGGCCUAACACAUGCAAGUCGAACGCGUCGCGGACGUGUGAGUCAUGUCUGGGAAACUGCCUGAUGGCGGGGGAUAACUACUGGAAACGGUAGCUAAUACCGCAUACCCUCGUCUGUUCCCCGAUGGGAUUAGCUAGUAGGUGGGGUAAAGGCUCACCUAGGCGACUAUCCCUAGCUGGUCUGAGAGGAUGACCAGCCACACUGGAACUGAGCCACGGGCCAGACUCCUACGGGAGGCAGCAGUGGGGAAUAUUGCACAAUGGGCGCAAGCCUGAUGCAGCCAUGCCGCGUGUAUGAAGAAGGCCUUCGGGUUGUAAAGUACUUUCAGCGGGGAGGCGUUACCAGCAGAAGAAGCACCGGCGAACUCCGGGCCAGCAGCCGCGGUAAUUC